GUGCCAGCAGCCGCGGUAAUUCCAUGCUCCAAUAGCGUAUAUUAAAGUUGUUGUGGUUAAAAAGCUCGUAGUUGAACCUUGGGCCUGGCUGGCCGGUCCGCCUCACCGCGUGCACUGGUCCGGCCGGGCCUUUCCCUCUGUGGAACCCCAUACCCUUCACUGGGCGUGGCGGGGAAACAGGACAUUUACUUUGAAAAAAUUAGAGUGCUCCAGGCAGGCCUAUGCUCGAAUACAUUAGCAUGGAAUAAUAAAAUAGGACGCGCGGUUCUAUUUUGUUGGUUUAUAGGACCGCCGUAAUGAUUAAUAGGGACAGUCGGGGGCAUCAGUAUUCAACUGUCAGAGGUGAAAUUCUUGGAUCAGUUGAAGACUAACUACUGCGAAAGCAUUUGCCAAGGAUGUUUUCAUUAAUCAGGAACGAAAGUUAGGGGAUCGAAGACGAUCAGAUACCGUCGUAGUCUUAACCAUAAACUAUGCCGACUAGGGAUCGGACGGUGUUAUUCAUGACCCGUUCGGCACCUUACGAGAAAUCAAAGUGCUUGGGCUCCAGGGGGAGUAUGGUCGCAAGGCUGAAACUUAAAGAAAUUGACGGAAGGGCACCACCAGGGGUGGAGCCUGCGGCUUAAUUUGACUCAACACGGGGAAACUCACCAGGUCCAGACACAAUAAGGAUUGACAGAUUGAGAGCUCUUUCUUGAUUUUGUGGUGGUGGUGCAUGACCGUUCUUAGUUGGUGGGGUGACUUGUCUGCUUAAUUGCGAUAACGAACGAGACCUUAACCUGCUAAAUAGCCCGCAUUGCUCCGGCAGUGCGCUGGCUUCUUAGAGGGACUUUCGGCUCAAGCCGAAGGAAGUUUGAAGCCA
rnacentral:rRNA from 1 species